AACGAACGCUGGCGGCAUGCCUAACACAUGCAAGUCGAACGAGACCUUCGGGUCUAGUGGCGCACGGGUGCUUAACGCGUGGUAACCUGCCCUUAGGUUCGGAAUAACUCCCCGAAAGAUGUGCUAAUACCGGUGAAUGUCUUCGGACCAAAGAUCUCUCGCUGUGGGAUGGGCCCGCGUUGGUUUCGCUGGUUGGUAGGGUAAAAGCCUGCCAUGGCGAGGUUCCAUAGCUGGUCUGGGAGCAGGACAAGCCACGCUGGCCAUGAGACACGGACCACACUCGGAGGGGAGGGAGGAGUGGGGAAUAUUGGACGAGGGGCGAUGGCGUAACCAAGCAGUGCCGCGGGAGUGAGGAAGCCGUUAGGGUUGUAAAGCCCUUUGACACGAAAUGUUAGUGACAGUAACGGGUAAAUAAGCACCGGCUAACUCCGUG
rnacentral:rRNA from 1 species